CCGAACUGUCAAACACGGGUUGUUGCUGGUCCUCGAAAGGGGGCAUGUGCACGCUCUGUUUACACAUCCACUUCACACCUGUGCACCCUCUGUAGUUCUACGGUCUGGGGGACCCCGUCCUCUGUCUGUGGCUCUACGUCUUUACACACACACUGUAUGAUGUCUUGUGGAAUGCUUUUUGCGUUUAACGCGAUACAAUA
rnacentral:misc_RNA from 1 species